rnacentral:rRNA from 1 species
UGAGGAAUCUUGCGCAAUGGGGGAAACCCUGACGCAGCAACGCCGCGUGAGUGAGGAAGGCCUUCGGGUCGUAAAGCUCUGUCAGAUGGAAGAAAUGGGUGGGGGCUAAUAUCGUCCAUCCUUGACGGUACCAUCAGAGGAAGCACCGGCUAACUCCGCGCCAGCAGCCGCGGUAAUACGGGGGGUGCAAGCGUUGUUCGGAAUCAUUGGGCGUAAAGCGCGCGCAGGCGGCUAGGUCAGUCAGAUGUGAAAGCCCUGGGCUUAACCCAGGAAGUGCAUUUGAUACUGCCUCGCUAGAGUACGGGAGAGGAAAGUGGAAUUCCUGGUGUAGAGGUGAAAUUCGUAGAUAUCAGGAGGAACACCGGUGGCGAAGGCGACUUUCUGGCCCGAUACUGACGCUCAGGCGCGAAAGCGUGGGGAGCAAACAG